GAAUUGCACCCUUACCUGGCUUCUCUCCUUUCUGUAGUGGACACUGGUGCGCCAUCCAGAUUGGGCCUGGGGACUGAAGGACUUCCCCCCAACCCACCUACUGGGAGUGCUGCUGAAAGAUAGCCCUCCGCUGGAAGCCCCCAUGGGGAUUGCCGCAAAUAAAGAGAGUAGCCUCCAUCCAAAGCCGUACCCGUCUCAGGGCAGCCUGCAUCCAAUGACUCGUCCAUGCAGGAGUAUGAAGACCCAAAUGUUUUGCCCCAACUUGAAAUGGCUCUGAAGGGUCACUCCAGCUUCAGAUCUCUCCUCUGGUGUGGGCAUGACGUUUUGCUCUUGACUUGCAAGAAACCUUUCAUCUCUGGUAUGAAGCAACAGCUUCAGGCAUUGCCCGCUAAUUAAAAAACAAGUCUAAAAGCCUUCUAACCUUCAUAGCUGUGAGAAUCAUCCAGUUCUAAAGCCAGCAACAUUGGGGGGACACCUUAUUGACAAUGAUGCCAGAAGUACAGCUUGGAUUUGGAAUAAAUAUUUCUAAUCCCUCUCUGGGGGAAGUGAGCUUAGCACAAUGAAUCCGCAGGCUUGGGCUCUCCUGAGGUAUUCUUCUGUUUCUCCCUGGCACGGAUAAAAUCUAAACUGUACUUAAGAAACGGUGUUAAAUGUGCUAGUUGACUGAAUCUGGCAUUUAUAAUGCAAUUUAGCAAAGUUUUAUAUUGACAGCAUGACAUUUUUAAAGGGCCCUUUCUGAUUAACAAGGUUCAGAAUCACUCCCCUGAUUAUGCUUGCGGAGUGAGUAUAAAACGCUACAGGCUCUGGAAGCAAUGAAUCGGGGCUCUGUUAGUGUUAGAUGCAUUUUGCUUUCUUAGUGACCAUUCUCAGGCAGGAUCAGGCUGGAACUACACUUUUUAGGACAGAAGAAAAUCUGCUUUCUCACUUUGGGGGACUUUUUGUGAGAAAAAGACCUCUAUGGGCCGAGGAGAGGCUGUGGAUUCCAAGCCAAGGCCAAGUAAUUUGUCCUCAUGGAGAUCCCAGUGUUACUUAGCAUUUUCUUAAAGGAAGUCUAAGAAAUCCAGCUUGGGGCAGGCAGAAGGCGAGGGCAGAAAAUUCUCUUUCCAAAGAGCAAAUUGACAAAGUUUCAAAUUGAUCUUAGCUUCAUUAUUGUCAAUGAUUCUAUCAAACAAAAUAUUUCCUGAAUAUCACCUAAAGAUUCAAUAAUCUCAUUUGGACGGCACAAAGGAAAGAUGGGAGAAAUGUCAGCCAUCUUUUUACAAACGGAGCAAGGGCAACACAGAGAAUCACACACAUGGCUCCAGCUGGUUUACAGUGGACCCAGACCCGUUUCCAGUCUCCUGCAAAUGGUGAUCGCAGCAACCAUCUACUGAGCUUCCAAACAUGUGCCAGACACUCAGUGUGCCACCGACAGUGACUUUCAGUGUAAGGAAACUGGCACUCAGAGGAAUGACCUGCCUAAGACCACACUCCUAGAAACAAUAGCAAAGGACAGUCAAGGAGUGCAAAUGUAACCUGGAAAGGAGCUGUCAGGCAUCUUUCCUCUUCCUAAAUAUCAAAGCCAAGCUCUGCUUGUGGCUCAGCCCCAGUGGACUGAUCUAUUGACUAUCUAAAUGACAGGGCUGCAGACAGAUGGCGCCUGUCCCAGGCAGUUUCUCUGGGUGGUUUCCUGCGAUGGGCUGACAUCCCCCAGUUCUGGUGAACAGGCAACACCCUAACAGUAAGGCCACUGUUAGCAGAAACUUCUCCAACAGAGACUCCUGCCAGCCAU